rnacentral:rRNA from 1 species
GACAGGGGGUGCAAACGUUGCUCGGAAUCACUGGGCAUAAAGCGCACGUAGGCUGCCGUCUAAGUCUGGUGUAAAAGCCCCCGGCUCAACCGGGGAACAGCACCAGAUACUGGAUGGCUUGAGAACGGUAGGGGUGAGUGGAACUCCAGGUGGAGCGGUGAAAUGCGUAGAUAUCUGGAGGAACACCGGUGGCGAAAGCGGCUCACUGGACCGUUUCUGACGCUGAGGUGCGAAAGCUAGGGGAGCAAACGGG